rnacentral:tRNA from 1 species
GCUGCUGUAGCUCAGUCGGUAGAGCGCGUCCUUGGUAAGGACGAGGUCACCGGUUCAAUCCCGGUCAGUAGCU